rnacentral:rRNA from 1 species
GACGAACGCUGGCGGCGUGCUUUACACAUGCAAGUCGAACGGUGAAGGUGGAGCUUGCUCCGCCGGAUCAGUGGCGAACGGGUGAGUAACACGUGGGCAACCUGCCCCUAACUUUGGGAUAACUACUCGAAAGAGUAGCUAAUACCGGAUAUGAAGUCUGUAGGCAUCUGCGGACUUGGAAAGGUUUUCGGUUAGGGAUGGGCCCGCGGCCUAUCAGCUUGUUGGUGAGGUAGUGGCUCACCAAGGCGACGACGGGUAGCCGGCCUGAGAGGGCGACCGGCCACACUGGGACUGAGACACGGCCCAGACUCCUACGGGAGGCAGCAGUGGGGAAUAUUGCGCAAUGGGCGAAAGCCUGACGCAGCAACGCCGCGUGCGGGAUGAAGGCCUUCGGGUUGUAAACCGCUUUCAGCAGGGAAGAAGCGAAAGUGACGGUACCUGCAGAAGAAGCACCGGCUAACUACGUGCCAGCCGCCGCAGUAA